rnacentral:rRNA from 1 species
AACGAACGCUGGCGGCAGGCUUAACACAUGCAAGUCGAACGCCCCGCAAGGGGAGUGGCAGACGGGUGAGUAACGCGUGGGAACGUGCCCUUCGCUUCGGAAUAGCCCCGGGAAACUGGGAGUAAUACCGGAUACGCCGUAUUGGGAAAGAUUUAUCGGCGAAGGAUCGGCCCGCGUUAGAUUAGCUAGUUGGCGGUGUAAUGGACCACCAAGGCUACGAUCUAUAGCUGGUCUGAGAGGAUGAUCAGCCACACUGGGACUGAGACACGGCCCAGACUCCUACGGGAGGCAGCAGUGGGGAAUCUUGGACAAUGGGCACAAGCCUGAUCCAGCCAUGCCGCGUGAGUGAAGAAGGCCUUAGGGUUGUAAAACUCUUUCGCCGGAGAAGAUAAUGACGGUAUCCGGAGAAGAAGCCCCGGCUAACUUCGUGCCAGCCGCCGCCGUAAGAC